CCCCCAUCUCCCCUGGCUUCGGUCGCCACCCCGCCCCCAUCGCCCCCAACUCCGGUCGCCGCCCCGCCCCAUCGCCCCUGAAUCCCGCCAUCACCCCACCUUCAUCUUCUCCCCGGAAGCUCCCGCUGCGCACACCCACCUGCGUUCCCCCGGAGAACCGACGCCACAUUAGUCGCCUACUUGCCCCGGCUCAUUCUGCCUGCCUCCUAUUCCAGAAAAAUUGGGGGCCAUCCGCGGGGAUCCAAGUUUUUGUCGGCUCCGCCAAGCGCCUCCCCACUCUGGCACGAUCCCCCAAGGUGGAGUUCGCGCGCUCCCCUUCUUACUCGUCCCGGUUCCCACACCUCCGCCUCCUCCUGAUUGCCCUGACGUGGACACAACGCCAUCCCAGUCCAGCCACGCAGCGUCAGGGAGGUCGGGGCCAUCGCGAGUAGCAGUCCAGAGCAGCCAAGGUGAGGGUGAGCACAACACUUCCAUCCCAUCCAUUUGAAGCACGUUUGUGAUUUUUUUGCAGGUAGCACGUUUGUGAUUUUGGGUAGUAACAAUGUUCAUGCCCGCGUACACUGCCGCCGCUCACCUCCCCACGACCUGCAUACAUACAGAGUUGAGAGUUCUAACUUGUUGCAAAAGUUCAAAAAGAAGAAUAUAUGCAGUCCAACUUAUUCUAGCAUAAUGCUUCUCCUUUGAAUCUAGAUGCUACAAACAGUCCUCCUUUGUGAAUAUGAACUGAAUGUUGUUGUUUUGAUGUUCUAUAGAAAGUGUACUGAAUUUUGCAGUUUUAUCCUUUUUACACGCACUAUUGUUCGAGCUGGCGGCCGCGAGACCCUGUGCCUCCACGGGCCUCGUCUCCCGCUAUCGGCGACGGCACUCCCUUCCUCCAACGCAUCGCCGACGAGGCCAACCGCCUACACCGUCUUCGGCUGCAACGAUGUCGUCGUCCGACGAGGCCAACCGCCUACACCAACUUUGGCUGCAACGACGCCGUCUCUCUCCGUGAACCUUCUUGUCUCCUCUAAAAUUUCAUGACCGGUGUUCAUUUGGGAUGAACAUUUGUACAUACCCUGUUUUUACUUUACUCGUGAGGACUGAGGAGAUGAAUGUGUGACAGUCGAUCUUCAUUGGUGAAAGAUAAAAAGAAAUGGCAUUCAGUUCAGAGAAACAAUUAUAACGAUGGCUACAUCUAUUUUCUCUUUGAACACUUCUAGGGGCUAAAAAAAGGCUGGGGAAUGUAGCAGUGUGUAUGUGCUGGCUGAUGCUUUCUCAGAACUACUCUUUGAGAAAGAAAUGGUGCGUUGAGAGAAAAGAAAAGUGCAGAGAAGGCAACUGGUGUGUUGAGAGGAAAGCAAAGUGCAGAGAAUGCUCCAAGAACAGAGCUGCAUGUUCUUCAGUUUCCAUCUUUGUGCUCACAUCACAAGAGCUCAGCUAAAGAAAAUAGAGAAAAUCAACACUUCAGAUCUUUAUAUGUACAGAAAAUCGUUCCAGAAAGUACAUGUUAAAAAAAGCCUCUGUUGUAGUUAUAAACAAAUAUACACUUUACUAAAUCCUGUCGGC
rnacentral:rRNA from 1 species